UUAAUUACUAAGAACAAGACUAGUAACAAAGAAAGCUAAAAAAGAGAGGCCUUUUUACCAGCUGAAAGAAAGGCUUUAGUGGAAUUUGUGAAUUUCAUCUUGGAAGUUGGAUCUAAUCAAUUCCGGUAUUUCACCGUUAUCGAAAACAAGAGUGUGAGUCUUUUUGGACUCAAACUAGGGUGGUACCGCGAAGCUUCGUCCCUUUU
rnacentral:ncRNA from 1 species